rnacentral:rRNA from 1 species
GACGAACGCUGGCGGCGUGCUUAACACAUGCAAGUCGAACGGUGAACUCCGCUUGCGGGGGGAUCAGUGGCGAACGGGUGCGUAACACGUGGGCAACCUGCCCUCAGCUCUGGGAUAACUCCAAGAAAUUGGGGCUAAUACCGGAUAUGACCGCUGACCGCAUGGUCUGGGGGUGGAAAGAUUUAUCGGCUGGGGAUGGGCCCGCGGCCUAUCAGCUUGUUGGUGGGGUAGUGGCCUACCAAGGCGACGACGGGUAGCCGGCCUGAGAGGGUGACCGGCCACACUGGGACUGAGACACGGCCCAGACUCCUACGGGAGGCAGCAGUGGGGAAUAUUGCGCAAUGGGCGAAAGCCUGACGCAGCGACGCCGCGUGGGGGAUGACGGCCUUCGGGUUGUAAACCUCUUUCAGCAGGGACGAAGCGAAAGUGACGGUACCUGCAGAAGAAGCACCGGCCAACUACGUG